ACCCCGAACAGCUAGCCCACCUUCUAACCAAACAACCAGUAUUAAUAUUACAUAAUUAACGAGUAUUAUCACAACAAACCAUUUUUCCCCCUAAGUACGUGCGACAGAAAAGGAGCCAGGAGCUAUAGAAAAAGUACCGCAAGGGAAAGCUGAAAAAGAAAUGAAAAAACUUAGUAAAGACCUAAAAAGCAGAGAUUUUUCCUCGUACCUUUUGCAUCAUGAUUUAGCUAGUAUACAUCAAGCAAAGAGACCUUUACGUUUGAUACCCCGAAACUGAACGAGCUACUCCAAGACAGCCUAUUAUAGGGCAAACCCGUCUCUGUUGCAAAAGGGUGGGAAGAUCUUCGAGUAGAGGUGACAGACCUACCGAGCUCAGUUAUAGCUGGUUAUCUGGGAAAUGAAUAAAAGUUCGACCUUUUAUCUUCUUUAAUCAAAUAUGGAGCCCCCGUGUUCCUUAUUAAGACUUAAAAGAAGUUAAAAGAGCUAUUCAAGAGAGGGACAGCUCUCUUGUAAAAAGAUACAACUUUGGUAGAAGGCUAAAGAUUAUAAAAAAUUUAAGGACAAAACCUAAGUGGGCUUAAAAGCAGCCACCUUUACAAAUAGCGUUUAAGCUUUAGUUACCUGCUUCCUAUUAUUCCAUAAACCUUUUCUUAAACCUCUUAUCUCACCAGAUCAUUCUAUGCACACAUAGAAGAGACUCUGCUAAUAUGAGUAAUAAGAGGACAUCAGCUCCUCUCCUCGCACCCGUGUAAAUCAGAACGAACCUCUCACUGAAAAUUAACGCCCCCAAAGAAAGAGGGUAUUAAGGUAACAAACCCAAAACUAGAAAAACCCACCUAUAUUUUUAACGUUAAACCCACACAGGAGUGCCACCGGAAAGACUAAAAGAAAAAGAAGGAACUCGGCAAACACUGGCCUCGCCUGUUUACCAAAAACAUCGCCUCUUGCCCCUAAUAAGUAUAAGAGGUCCCGCCUGCCCUGUGACCAAGAGUUCAACGGCCGCGGUAUUUUGACCGUGCGAAGGUAGCGUAAUCACUUGUCUUUUAAAUAGAGACCUGUAUGAAUGGCAUUACGAGGGCUAAACUGUCUCCUUUUUCCAGUCAAUGAAAUUGAUCUGUCCGUGCAGAAGCGGACAUAAAAACAUAAGACGAGAAGACCCUAUGGAGCUUUAGAUUUAAGAUAGCCCAUGUCAAUUUACCUGUUAUAACGGAACAAAACUUAAUGACUCCUUUCUUCCAUAUCUUCGGUUGGGGCGACCACGGAGUAACAAAAAUCCUCCACGUGGAACGGACUCUACAGUCCCAAUGUCAGAGCAACAGCUCUAACAAGCAGAAUAUCUGACCUUCAAGAUCCAGCAUAGCUGAUCAACGGACCAAGUUACCCUAGGGAUAACAGCGCAAUCCCCUCCUAGAGCCCUUAUCGACGAGGGGGUUUACGACCUCGAUGUUGGAUCAGGGCCUCCUAAUGGUGUAACCGCUAUUAAGGGUUCGUUUGUUCAACGAUUAAAGCCCUACGUGAUCUGAGUUCAGACCGGAGAAAUCCAGGUCAGUUUCUAUCUAUGAAACUACUUUUUUCUAGUACGAAAGGACCGAAAAAAGGAGGCCCAUGCUUCAAGCACGCCUCCCCCCAAACUAAUGCAACCAAAUAAAAGAGAUAAUGGGGCCCAAAAUCAUUAUUGAGAAAAAAGCAAA
rnacentral:rRNA from 1 species